CUUGGAAUUUCUCAGAUGAAAAAGAAAUACAUGAAUAUACUACCUAAAAAACUCAUUUUUUGGAAAAAUAAUAGGAACAGACAGACUUUAUUGUCGUUUGCAUCGAUUCCUUAGAUAAAAAAAAGAUGUGGAAGAGAACACUGUUUGAAACAAGACUCCAGACGAUGUUAUCGCUCAGAGGAAAUCGGAUAGGUCUUGAAAAUUUACAAUAAAAAAGUAAACUACUACGUUCAAGAAAAUAAAGCGUGCAAAAGAACAAACAUCUUAUUCGAAACUAUGCACAAUGCGCAACUUAUUUUGGGGCAGAAGUUCGCACUGACACCUACAUCGUAAAUAUUUAAAAAUUAACAUCAAUGCAUCAUUUUAUACCACCAUAGUAGUACGUAUUGGAAACAAUCGAGGCAAUUAUAUUUCCUUGGUGGAUACAACGUGGUCGACAAUAAUACAAUAGGGGACAUGGAAGAAUUCGUGUAGUCAACACCACAGGUUACACCGUGGAAGAUUCAUGAUCUUAUUGUGGAAAUUGUAAAAAUACGAAAUGAAAAUAUAGUAAAAUUCACAUUAGCGCAAUACUUCUAUAUACAUGAAGCCUUCAACCGUAUUGUUUAUGCUGAUCUCAAACAUUACAUUGAGUCACUGGAUAGUGCAGAAUGUACAUAAAGUUAGUGAAAAAUUUUAACAAUGAUUAUUAUACGCCAAAAUCUAUUAAGUAUAAAUGUGAUGCAUUAAAAAAAUUGCGUGAAGUUUAUGAUGAAACUUCAGUCGUAGAGUGCAAAUUACUAAUGUACGCUACUGAUAAAAU